rnacentral:rRNA from 1 species
AGCGAACGCUGGCGGCAGGCUUAACACAUGCAAGUCGAGCGCCCCGCAAGGGGAGCGGCAGACGGGUGAGUAACACGUGGGAACGUACCCUUCAGUUCGGAACAACCCAGGGAAACUUGGGCUAAUACCGGAUACGUCCGUAAGGAGAAAGAUUUAUCGCUGAAGGAUCGGCCCGCGUCUGAUUAGCUAGUUGGUGAGGUAAUGGCUCACCAAGGCUACGAUCAGUAGCUGGUCUGAGAGGAUGAUCAGCCACAUUGGGACUGAGACACGGCCCAAACUCCUACGGGAGGCAGCAGUGGGGAAUAUUGGACAAUGGGGGCAACCCUGAUCCAGCCAUGCCGCGUGAGUGAUGAAGGCCCUAGGGUUGUAAAGCUCUUUUAGCGGGGAAGAUAAUGACGGUACCCGCAGAAAAAGCCCCGGCUAACUUCGUGCCAGCCGCCGCCGUAACAC